rnacentral:rRNA from 1 species
AUGGCGCCGAAGAAGCGGAAGGCGGAUCCGGCGGCGGCCGCCGGCGCCGACCCCGCCGCCCACCACGAGAAGCCCGAGCAGAAGCCCCGCGUCGGGACCAUCUACUACCCCAUCACCGACGACCCCCCGGAGCCGGCCGCGGACGCCGCCGCCGCCGCCGCCCUGGAGGAGGAGGACCUCGCCUACGACUACGAGGAGGAGGACGUCACCAAGCUGCUCGAGCCGCUCUCCCGGGAGCAGCUCGUGGCCCUGCUCCGCGCGGCCGCCGAGGCGAGCCCCGCCACCAUGGCGGCCGUGCGCCGCGCCGCCGAGUCCGACCCCGCCAGCAGGAAGCUCUUCGUGCACGGCCUCGGCUGGGGCGCCGGCGUCGAGGACCUCCGCUCCGCCUUCUCCCGCUUCGGCGAGCUCGAGGACUGCCGCGUCAUCACCGACAAGCAGUCCGGCAAGUCCAAGGGCUACGGCUUCGUGCUCUACCAGUCCCGCACCUCGGCGCUCCGCGCCCUCCGCCGCCCCCAGCUCGACAUCGGCGGCCGCCUCGCCUUCUGCCACCUCGCCGCCUCGGGCCCUGCACCCCCGGCCUCCCAGUCCCAUAACCCUAGCUCCAACGCCAACGCCAGCUCAGGCACCACCAACAACAACGCCCCCGCUUCCUCCUCCUCGCUGCCUGACAACAUGCAGCGCAAGAUCUUUGUUGGCAACGUGCACGCUGAUGUUGAUGUAAAUCGCCUCUAUGAGUACUUCUCGCAGUUUGGUGAGAUUGAAGAGGGGCCGCUGGGCUUUGACAAGAGCACCGGCAAGCCCAAGGGGUUUGCGCUGUUUGUUUACAAGUCUGUGGACAGUGCUCGCCGCGCCCUGGAGGAGCCUAUGAGGAAUUUUGAUGGCAAGAUGCUCAAUGUGCAGAAGGCCAUAGAUGGGAGGACAAAGGGCUCAUCCGGGUCCAACUCGAGUGCUAACAAUGCCAAUGCCACCGCUGCUUCUACACAAAUGACCAUGCCCUCUAUUGCCGCCAUUAAUCCAUAUGAUCCAUCAGCGUAUGGUGCCGCUGCUGUUCAUGACAUGGGGUUCGCCCAGCAAGCUGCCUUGCUGGGGAUGGGUGCACAGCAGCAAGCGUUUGCGCAGCCCAAUACUGCAAUGCUGGCCAUGAUGGCAGCCGCGAUGCAGAACCCAGCCAUGCUUGCAUCGCUAAAUCCAGCUUUUGCUGCUGCUGCAUUGGGCGCCGGGGGGCAAUCUGGCAUUCCUGGUUUUGGAGCUCAGGGCUUUGGGACACAAGGGUUUGGGGCUGCUGGCGUCAAUUUUCCAAAUGCAGCAGGUCUUCAGGGAGCUGCAGCAUAUCAAGGAGGGCCUCCUGGUUUUCAGGGGACACCUGGGUUCCCCACUUCUGCUGGGUUUCAGGUCGGCCAAGCAGCUUCCCAAACGGGCACAACUGCAGCCGCCACUGGUGCUGCUGGUGGUUAUCAGGCUGGGGCUGCUGGGCAGGGCCAAGUGUCCAAUACCCAGAUUGGUGGCACUGGUUUUCAGGGUGGCUAUUGA